rnacentral:rRNA from 1 species
UACGAGAGGCCCAAACGUUAUUCGGAUUUACUGGGCUUAAAGAGUUUGUAGGCGGUUCGGUAAGUGAGAUGUGAAAGCCCUCGGCUCAACCGAGGAAUUGCGUUUCAAACUGCCGGGCUCGAGGGAGAUAGAGGUGAGCGGAACUGAUGGUGGAGCGGUGAAAUGCGUUGAUAUCAUCAGGAACACCAGAGGCGAAGGCGGCUCACUGGGUCUCUUCUGACGCUGAGAAACGAAAGCUAGGGGAGCAAACAGG